AGAGUUUGAUCCUGGCUCAGGACGAACGCUGGCGGCGUGCCUAAUACAUGCAAGUCGAACGGUCUUUUCUAUGGAAGCUUGCUUCCACUGAGAAGAUAGUGGCGAACGGGUGAGUAACACGUGGGUAACCUGCCCAUAAGAGGGGGAUAACAUCCGGAAACGGGUGCUAAUACCGCAUAGUUUUCUUGAUCGCAUGAUCGAGAAAGGAAAGACGGCCUUUGUGCUGUCGCUUAUGGAUGGACCCGCGGCGUAUUAGUUAGUUGGUGAGGKAAUGGCUCACCMAGAMGAWGRUACGUAGCCGAMCUGAGAGGGUGAUCGGCCACAUUGGGACUGAGACACGGCCCAAACUYCUACGGGAGGCAGCAGUAGGGAAUCUUCCGCAAUGGAMGAAAGUCUGACGGAGCAACGCCGCGUGAGUGAAGAARGUUUUYGGAWCGUAAAACUCUGUUGUCAGAGAAGAACAAGUCGGAGAGUAACUGCUYCSGCCYUGACGGUAUCUGAMCAGAAAGCCACGGCUAACUACGUGCCMGCAGCCGCGGUAAUACGUAKGUGGSAAGCGUUGUCCGGAUUUAUUGGGCGUAAAGCGAGCGCAGGCGGKUYCYUUAGUCUGAUGUGAAAGCCCACGGCUCAAMCGUGGAAGGUCAUUGGAAACUGGGGAACUUGAGUGCAGAAGAGGAGAGUGGAAUUCMUGUGUAGCGGUGAAAUGCGUAGAUAUAUGGGAGGAACACCAGUGGCGAAGCGACUCUCUGGUCUGUAACUGACGCUGAGCUCGAAAGCGUGGGGAGCAAACAGGAUUWRAUAMCCCUGGUAGUCMMSCCGUAACGAUGAGUGCUAAGUGUGAGGUKUCACCUUCAGUGCUGCRGCUAAMGCAUUAGCACUCCGC
rnacentral:rRNA from 1 species